rnacentral:rRNA from 1 species
AAUCAACGCUGGCGGCGUGCCUCAGACAUGCAAGUCGAACGAUUAAAGCUCUCUUCGGCGAGUGUAUAGAGUGGCGCACGGGUGAGUAACACGUAAGUAAUCUACCCUCGAGUGGGGAAUAACAACCGGAAACGGUUGCUAAUACCGCAUAAUGCAGCGGCACCGCAAGGUGACAGUUGUUAAAGAUUUAUCGCUUGAGGAGGAGCUUGCGGCAGAUUAGCUAGUUGGUAGGGUAACGGCUUACCAAGGCUACGAUCUGUAACCGGUCUAAGAGGACGGUCGGUCACACUGACACUGAAUAACGGGUCAGACUCCUACGGGAGGCAGCAGUCGGGAAUUUUGGGCAAUGGGCGAAAGCCUGACCCAGCAACGCCGCGUGAAGGAUGAAGUAUUUCGGUAUGUAAACUUCGAAAGAAUAGGAAGAAUUAAUGACGGUACUAUUUAUAAGGUCCGGCUAACUACGUGCCAGCAGCCGCGGUAAU